UGCAAGGGGUUUCCCUUCUGACAUUCCAGGGGUGGUACAGUAGGGGACUACAUGAGGAACUGAACAACACAGACAUUUCUCCCACCAUGCACUGCUGCAUGAGAGGGAUACUCCUACUAGAAUAUACAGCUAGGUGGAAUAUCCCUCCGUGCAGCAGAACUUACAUUUUACAAUAAAAUACAUAACUUCUAUAAUAUUCCCUUUAUUUAAACAAAUUGAUGUUCGGUAGAUAGCUGGGGUCUGAGCGCACAAUUCGUGAGAAUACCGCUCAGAUCCCAGCCUAACUUACCGAACGCCGCACGAAAACACACAUUAUUCUCAAAUCACCUUUAAAGUACCGAUUGGUAUUAGGGGAACAAACUGCCGAACGGCCUGGAAGUCCAGCAGUGUUCGCGCCGUCGAGUAGCCGAUUUUAGUUCCAGGCGCUUGACGACCAAACACCGCUGGGCUAACAAAGGAACCAAGAUGGCCGACCGCUGCGUGGUCGGUAGCGAACGACGGCCACCUAGGGAAACCUUUAACUACCGAUUGCAACAAUGUU